GUGAGACCGGGACAAUGGAUUACAUUAGAGAAGGAAAAUGUGAAGACUGUAAAUGCUUCUCUAAUGAGAAAGCAGCCACCUAAAUCCCCAGAGCUCAUGUUAUCGUAAUAUUUACUAAUAGGACUCUGACAAUGCCUGGCGCAUAACAGUUCCUGGUAGACAGGUGACAAAUAAAAUAAAAUAAGAAUAAAAUAAAAACAGGGAUAAAUAAAGUGGAAAGGAGUGAUGAGCUCUUGGCUGCCUGUGUAUGUAACCAAAGGUACAAGAGUAACUGAAACAAAACAGGUGCAGAAAUCUCCGUGACAAGAAAGUAACUAUCCGGAAGUCUCUUCUAACCUGGAAGAGAAGCGAUUGUUUCACUGAUUUAUCUCUUUAAGGGUCACUGACAGGUGUCACAGGUCUGGUGGCUUACAGGCAUGACACCACAGGAACAUUCGAAGCAGGAGUGGAUGAGAAAACGGCAGAUCUGUCCACUCUGAUGACGAGAUCACCUAACUCGGUGACCAGACACCUUGGUGUCCCUCCCUUUACUGCCUCUCCAGCUCGAUCUCUACCAGCCUCUUCCAAGUCUACCAUUGUUUUUACAUGGAGGAUGAACUGGAAGUGCCAAGAAAAAUAACAGAGAAUCUUUGGAAGAAGACAGAAACCGAAUUAAACAAGGCUCCAUUCUGAAGAUGUUCUCAGCUCUCGGAUCCCACAAUCACAAAGCAUCCAAAGAGAAAAGACAACUGGUCGAGGAUGGACUUCACUCUCCCAGUACUUAUAACGAAGAGCUCAGACUCGCCUCUUACUGGUGCUUUGUCAUAUUAGAGCAAGUGACUCGGUUCACCUGCUUUCCCUCCUUGCUUCAUCUCACUCCCCAUCACCUAUGCACAUCCACUUCCCACAGCAGGAUGCAGUCAAGGACCACAUAAAGGAAGAUUUCUACUUGAAUUUGCCAGAAGUGGAGCCGUUCUAAAGUUCACCAUAAAUGCUGGGCUGGAAGCCGUCCUAAUAACAUAGGUGUUUCACUCAUAUUCAAGUCUAGCAAUAGAAGAAAGAAUUGCUGCUCAAAGUGUCUCUGAGGGCAGAAAAAAAAAUCGAUAUAUGAAAUAAAAUUCAUGAAAAUUUC
rnacentral:lncRNA from 1 species